GGAAAGAUGUCUGAGUGGUUGAAAGUUUAGAUCUGGAACGUCUAUGUAGUAAAAAAACUACCGAGGGUUCGAAUCCCUCUCUUUCCG
rnacentral:tRNA from 1 species